GGCCGUCUAGCGCAAUGGUAGCGCGUAGCCCUCCUAAGGCUAAGGUUGUGGGUUCGAGUCCCAUGAUGGUCG
rnacentral:tRNA from 1 species